GAUGAACGCUGGCGGCGUGCCUAAUACAUGCAAGUCGAGCGAACAGACGAGGAGCUUGCUCCUUUGACGUUAGCGGCGGACGGGUGAGUAACACGUGGGUAACCUACCUAUAAGACUGGGAUAACUUCGGGAAACCGGAGCUAAUACCGGAUAAUAUUUCGAACCGCAUGGUCCGAUAGUGAAAGAUGGCUUUGCUAUCACUUAUAGAUGUACCUGCGCCGUAUUAGCUAGUUGGUAAGGUAACGGCUUACCAAGGCAACGAUACGUAGCCGACCUGAGAGGGUGAUCGGCCACACUGGAACUGAGACACGGUCCAGACUCCUACGGGAGGCAGCAGUAGGGAAUCUUCCGCAAUGGGCGAAAGCCUGACGUAGCAACGCCGCGUGAGUGAUGAAGGUCUUCGGAUCGUAAAACUCUGUUAUUAGGGAAGAACAAACGUGUAAGUAACUGUGCACGUCUUGACGGUACCUAAUCAGAAAGCCACGGCUAACUACGUG
rnacentral:rRNA from 1 species